GACAGAGGGUGCAAACGUUGUUCGGAAUUACUGGGCGUAAAGCGUGCGCAGGCGGCUUCGCAAGUCAGACGUGAAAUCCCCGGGCUUAACCUGGGAAUGGCGUUUGAAACUACGGAGCUGGAGUGUGGCAGAGGGAGGUAGAAUUCCACGUGUAGCGGUGAAAUGCGUAGAUAUGUGGAGGAAUACCGAUGGCGAAGGCAGCCUCCUGGGCCAACACUGACGCUCAUGCACGAAAGCGUGGGGAGCAAACAGG
rnacentral:rRNA from 1 species